UACGAAGGGGGGCUAGCGUUGUUCGGAAUUACUGGGCGUAAAGGGCGCGUAGGCGGUGUGUCAAGUCAGGCGUGAAAGCCCCGGGCUCAACCUGGGAACCGCGCUUGAGACUGGCACGCUCGAGUUCGGGAGAGGAUGGUGGAAUUCCCAGUGUAGAGGUGAAAUUCGUAGAUAUUGGGGAAGAACACCGAUGGCGAAGGCAGCCAUCUGGACCGACACUGACGCUGAGGCGCG
rnacentral:rRNA from 1 species